AGCCUCUUUUAUGGGGUGACUGCGUACCUUUUGUAUAAUGGGUCAGCGACUUAUAUUCUGUAGCAAGGUUAACCGAAUAGGGGAGCCGAAGGGAAACCGAGUCUUAACUGGGCGUUAAGUUGCAGGGUAUAGACCCGAAACCCGGUGAUCUAGCCAUGGGCAGGUUGAAGGUUGGGUAACACUAACUGGAGGACCGAACCGACUAAUGUUGAAAAAUUAGCGGAUGACUUGUGGCUGGGGGUGAAAGGCCAAUCAAACCGGGAGAUAGCUGGUUCUCCCCGAAAGCUAUUUAGGUAGCGCCUCGUGAAUUCAUCUCCGGGGGUAGAGCACUGUUUCGGCAAGGGGGUCAUCCCGACUUACCAACCCGAUGCAAACUGCGAAUACCGGAGAAUGUUAUCACGGGAGACACACGGCGGGUGCUAACGUCCGUCGUGAAGAGGGAAACAACCCAGACCGCCAGCUAAGGUCCCAAAGUCAUGGUUAAGUGGGAAACGAUGUGGGAAGGCCCAGACAGCCAGGAUGUUGGCUUAGAAGCAGCCAUCAUUUAAAGAAAGCGUAAUAGCUCACUGGUCGAGUCGGCCUGCGCGGAAGAUGUAACGGGGCUAAACCAUGCACCGAAGCUGCGGCAGCGACGCUUAUGCGUUGUUGGGUAGGGGAGCGUUCUGUAAGCCUGUGAAGGUGUGCUGUGAGGCAUGCUGGAGGUAUCAGAAGUGCGAAUGCUGACAUAAGUAACGAUAAAGCGGGUGAAAAGCCCGCUCGCCGGAAGACCAAGGGUUCCUGUCCAACGUUAAUCGGGGCAGGGUGAGUCGACCCCUAAGGCGAGGCCGAAAGGCGUAGUCGAUGGGAAACAGGUUAAUAUUCCUGUACUUGGUGUUACUGCGAAGGGGGGACGGAGAAGGCUAUGUUGGCCGGGCGACGGUUGUCCCGGUUUAAGCGUGUAGGCUGGUUUUCCAGGCAAAUCCGGAAAAUCAAGGCUGAGGCGUGAUGACGAGGCACUACGGUGCUGAAGCAACAAAUGCCCUGCUUCCAGGAAAAGCCUCUAAGCAUCAGGUAACAUCAAAUCGUACCCCAAACCGACACAGGUGGUCAGGUAGAGAAUACCAAGGCGCUUGAGAGAACUCGGGUGAAGGAACUAGGCAAAAUGGUGCCGUAACUUCGGGAGAAGGCACGCUGAUAUGUAGGUGAAGUCCCUUGCGGAUGGAGCUGAAAUCAGUCGAAGAUACCAGCUGGCUGCAACUGUUUAUUAAAAACACAGCACUGUGCAAACACGAAAGUGGACGUAUACGGUGUGACGCCUGCCCGGUGCCGGAAGGUUAAUUGAUGGGGUCAGCGCAAGCGAAGCUCUUGAUCGAAGCCCCGGUAAACGGCGGCCGUAACUAUAACGGUCCUAAGGUAGCGAAAUUCCUUGUCGGGUAAGUUCCGACCUGCACGAAUGGCGUAAUGAUGGCCAGGCUGUCUCCACCCGAGACUCAGUGAAAUUGAACUCGCUGUGAAGAUGCAGUGUACCCGCGGCAAGACGGAAAGACCCCGUGAACCUUUACUAUAGCUUGACACUGAACAUUGAGCCUUGAUGUGUAGGAUAGGUGGGAGGCUUUGAAGUGUGGACGCCAGUCUGCAUGGAGCCGACCUUGAAAUACCACCCUUUAAUGUUUGAUGUUCUAACGUGGACCCGUGAUCCGGGUUGCGGACAGUGUCUGGUGGGUAGUUUGACUGGGGCGGUCUCCUCCUAAAGAGUAACGGAGGAGCACGAAGGUUGGCUAAUCCUGGUCGGACAUCAGGAGGUUAGUGCAAUGGCAUAAGCCAGCUUGACUGCGAGCGUGACGGCGCGAGCAGGUGCGAAAGCAGGUCAUAGUGAUCCGGUGGUUCUGAAUGGAAGGGCCAUCGCUCAACGGAUAAAAGGUACUCCGGGGAUAACAGGCUGAUACCGCCCAAGAGUUCAUAUCGACGGCGGUGUUUGGCACCUCGAUGUCGGCUCAUCACAUCCUGGGGCUGAAGUAGGUCCCAAGGGUAUGGCUGUUCGCCAUUUAAAGUGGUACGCGAGCUGGGUUUAGAACGUCGUGAGACAGUUCGGUCCCUAUCUGCCGUGGGCGCUGGAGAACUGAGGGGGGCUGCUCCUAGUACGAGAGGACCGGAGUGGACGCAUCACUGGUGUUCGGGUUGUCAUGCCAAUGGCACUGCCCGGUAGCUAAAUGCGGAAGAGAUAAGUGCUGAAAGCAUCUAAGCACGAAACUUGCC
rnacentral:rRNA from 1 species